rnacentral:sRNA from 1 species
UUUAGAGCCUGUGAAAGGUACUGACAGCAAUGAAGAAUUCACAGCAGCUGCACUGCAAGCUUCCCCACACUGCCCCAAUAAUGAGCUUCAAUCCUGUCCUGGAAGGAUCACUUUUAAGGAACAAGAGGGGACUUCAGACCUCAUACCUAUGCAGUCUUUGACCACU